UGCUGAGCGGCGCUGCGGGGACACCGAACCGAGCGGGCAGCUGGACGCAGACGGGUGCACGCGGCAGGAACCACAAACCCUAGACUCUAUAGAAGGAAACCUUCAUCAGAUUUCUUGAUGAACAAAGUCUAUUGAACCAGGCAAGCUUCCUGCUGAAGAGACAGGACAGUCAUAAUGCUGAGAGAUGGAGAAUUUGAUCGUGUUUUUUUAAGCUGAAGGGAAGGUGCCCAGGAGAGGAAGAGAUUAAUGGUUCAGGAGAAAAAUGGGAUGCCUGAUGGCACAGGAAGUGAUUGGAUCAAACCCACAGUUGGUUUUUUUGUGUGUUUUUUCUUUUUUUGUGUGGACGUGUUUGUUGUUGCAAUGGCUUAAAGCAGAGAUAACAAGUCUAUUACAAAAGAAAGUGCAUGACUAUCAUGGUUUGCAGA